rnacentral:tRNA from 1 species
CGGGACGUAGCGCAGACUGGUAGCGCGUUCGCUUGGGGUGCGAGAGGUCGCCUGUUCAAAUCAGGUCGUCCCGA